rnacentral:rRNA from 1 species
ACGGAAGGCAGCAGUGAGGAAUAUUGGUCAAUGGGCGGAAGCCUGAACCAGCCAAGUCGCGUGAAGGAUGAAGGUAUUAUGUAUUGUAAACUUCUUUAGCAGUGGAGUAAUAAGGAGGUCGUGACCUCUGAUGCAAGUACACUGAAAAUAAGGAUCGGCUAACUCCGUGCCAGCAGCCGCGGUAAUACGGAGGAUCCGAGCGUUAUCCGGAUUUAUUGGGUUUAAAGGGUGCGCAGGCGGCUUUUUAAGUCAGCGGUUAAAUCGUGAGGCUCAACCUCAUCUCGCCGUUGAUACUGGAGAGCUUGAUUGCGGUUGAGGUUGGCGGAAUUCGUCGUGUAGCGGUGAAAUGCAUAGAUAUGACGAAGAACACCGAUUGCGUAGGCAGCUGACCAAGCCGUAAAUGACGCUCAUGCACGAAAGUGCGGGGAUCGAACAGGAUUAGAUACCCUGGUA